AUUACAGAGCGUGAGGUCCAGCCAUGGCAGUUGUCCGUGGGCUGGAUCNACCCUCCACCCGUGUCGACUUGUAUUUGUGUUGCUUUGGCGGGCCGGGCUCGCCAUGGUCGCGCGUUUCGUACGUGUGCGUAUGGCGUGUUGCCCACCGGCUUCGGCUGGAGCGUGUCCGCCGGAGACCCUAUAACCAAAACCUAUUGCUGUCCAUGUAGUCUAAGGCAAGAUUUUAAAGAAUUGAUAAAACUUUCAACAACGGAUCUCUUGGCUCUGGCAUCGAUGAAGAACGCAGCGAAAUGCGAUAAGUAAUGUGAAUUGCAGAAUCUAGUGAAUCAUCGAAUCUUUGAACGCACAUUGCGCCCCUUGGUAUUCCGAGGGGCAUGCCUGUUCGAGCGUCAUAACAACCGCCUCGAGCUACCCUUUUGGUGUGGCUGCGGUGUUGGGGCUCGCCGCAUCGGCGGCCCUUAAAGACAGUGGCGGUGCCGACGUUGGCUCUACGCGUAGUAAAAUAGCUCGCGACAGAACGGCGCUGGCGACUAGCCAAAAACCGAAAGAACUGAACAAGACCAAGAGAGAAGGGGGGUCACACUCGACUUUUUUGUGUUUUGUCUGCUCUUUUUCAGAUCAUAGGUUGACCUCGAAUCAGGUAGGGAUACCCGCUGNNCUUAAGCAUAUCAAUAAGCGGAGGA
rnacentral:rRNA from 1 species